UCUCCGUAGGUGAACCUGCGGAGGGAUCAUUACAGAGUUCAUGCCCUACCGGGUAGAUCUCCCACCCUAUGUUAUUAUUACUUUGUUGCUUUGGCGGGCCGUUAGGCUCCGGCCGACUACCGGCCCCGGCUGGUAAGCGCCCGCCAGAGGACCCAAAACCCUGAAUAUUAGUGUCGUCUGAGUACUAUAUAAUAGUUAAAACUUUCAACAACGGAUCUCUUGGUUCUG
rnacentral:misc_RNA from 1 species